UGCCAGCGGUAUUUUGAGAGCCGGCUCGUCUGUACACUUCAUUCAGUGAGGGUCUUCAUACCUAACGGGCCUAUCGGACCGCCAGAAGUUCUGCUUUUCUAACUUCCAGUCGCCGCUUGUGAUUUCCAUUAAAGACGAUUGACAGCCGAACUCGCGAUCGGGACGAAGUCUCGGGGAGCUGCUGUGGAACCGCGGGGGGUCGUCAGAAAUGGACAAAAGUGCACGAUCAGGUGCUGGAGAGGGUCUUCAGGGGUCUUCUGUUCCACAGAGCGCUCCAGAACACCAGGAAUUUCUCAGUUUCCCAGUACAAGAAAGCUGCCCGGUCCUGGAAAAGCAAAGCAGCUGCCAAGUCAUUCGUGAUGGGGAUUCGUCCAGCAGUGCGUUCUAUGGCGGCAGGCGCUCAUCCUUCUCAGAGGAGUCGGUGGGCUCACCUUUGCCCGCAUAUGCCCCCCCUCACCUUUUCAAACUUGUGCCAAGUUCAAGUGAAGACCUGGUGGAUGUAAAGCUACCCGUUGACCUCCCUGAUCCUGCCAAGCUUGUGUCGCUGCCACCUGAGGAUCAGCCUCUGAGGAGCCUGGAAGACGAGAGCCGUGCACAGGAGCCGCUGAUCAGAGCCCCCCAUGCCGAGGACAAAGCGAAGCUCCAUUACAGCAAGAGAAGAGCAGGACAGGAAAAUCUGAACUCCGCGGCACGGGACGUAAAAGUCAGACGGCGCCACCCCACACGUAAGAGGGCAGGCAACAGCAGAGAAGUGGGCCACAAUGGGUCGCUGCCCACCAUACCAGGCGUUUGUGAAGAAAAGAAGAAGAAACGCAGGACAAGGAGGUCCAGAGCACCUAAGAAGAUCUCCACCAAGAUGAAAAAAGAAAGAGCGAUGGCACCACAGAGAUCCUGGCAUCCCCGUGGUGUGGCGUGGCUCGUUCUGUGUCUCCUCUGCCUGGUGACGAUUCAGGGUGUGGACCCCAGUUCCACCGAGCCGGCCUGUGCAGGUAAGCCCCACAGGGUGACGUUUCUUUCAGCAGCCUUGGGCCUCCAACAUGCUGUAACACUGUACAGGAAUGACAAGGUCCUGUGCCAUGUGUCACCUGAAAACAUUACACAGUGUAGCCAUGGAAGUGCCAAGUGCAUGAAAGAUGGCACAGGUCUGUGCCAGGAGGACGGGAACCUUGUGUACAUCAUAAACAACGCAUCUGAAGAGGACAGCGGGCUCAUUGAGCUGGAGGUGGACUACUUCACAGGAAUGGAGAUCAAGAUUGUGGAUUGCAAACCGAAACCAAGGCAAGGAGGAGGGGGCCUGACAUCUUCACCCUCCGCUCCCUCUCCGGAACCUACGGCACAAGGCCUGAUGUCUUCAUCCCCCACUCCCACUCCGGACCCUCCACCAGGAGAUCCAUCAGUGAAGAUAAUAAUUGGAGUUGUAGUCUCCAUCGUCGUCGUUGCAGUUGGAGCAUGGCUCUUCAUCAAAUGGAGGAGGAGGAGGAGAUUCCCAGAAAUGCCUCAGCUGGCACUCCUCUUCACAGAAGGCAUUGCUCACUGUGCCUGGCAGGCUGAGGUGAUCCCCUUAUGAGCUUCAUUGCCGCAGGCACAAAUACGUGAAAUUGUUGCCAAAUACCAGGAUGGGCUCGACUCCAAGGGUGUUUCAUAACAUUUUCUCAGACUCUGAGGACGUCACAUUGACUUGACGGUGGUCCCAGAUAAGUACCUGUAAAUUGUGGUCUACACUCUGUGAAGUUCAAGGUGGUCACGCCAAGCUGGGCCCCCCAGUCUCCAUCGGCUGCUGAAAUGUCCGGUGUGCCUCUCGCUCUCCCAUUCUAAGAACAUCACAGCUUUGACUAACAGGAGGAGACCCCUUAGCCAGUUAAGUCCUUAUCCAGAUACGAUUGUCAAGUUGCAGCUCAGUCUCCAUCUCCAUCGCCCGCCCUGCCCAUUCACCUUGAGGCUGGCGAGCUCACAUGGUGACGUUGUGCUGCUUCUUCAAGCUAAAGGAGCCCCCCAUGAAUGUCUGUGCUCAGGGUGACAGCCAGCUGUUGAUACCAGCUUAUGUACCUCACUAUGGGCACUGAAAGGAUGCCAAAGCAAACGGCAGACAACUUCCCCGAACCAGCUUUUUGAUAAUCCCACCCUGAUGCACCUCCGUGCUUCAUCAUCACACCCCACAUGUCAUAACCAAGUGCAUGUGCCCCCUCGGAGUUUCCAGCAUGCCAGUAUGCGGGGCGGGAUGGUGUGUGGACCCCCUUGCUAUUUCGCGUGUGAUGAUAUGUGUGUAUUACAUGGACAGGAGGGGUCCACUUUGGAGUUCUGAUGGUGGUACAGGGGGGGGCCUUGACACAACGGCCAUAACGCUGGUAGAGAAGCGUUUUAAAUUGGGGUUUGUCAGUACCUUCUCCAUACCGGCACACCACACAACUCCAAUCCUGAUACAUCCCGUAAUACCCGCAGCUCCGAAGAUGAGUAACUCGUGCAAAAUGAAGAAACAUCACAACACUGCCACCUAGCUGCUCGGGGGUCCCAAGCUCGUCUUGUACAGUCGCAUCUCCAAGCCGCAGUCCUUUAGUCUCCAAGUCAGCCCUCUUCUGUUCUCCUCAAAAGGUUCAUCAGUGCACUGCAAAGUAUUGUGGGAUUACGAAGGUCCCUGUCCUGGCCGCGUUCGUGCAGCCUGUUUGAAAACGGUGAGAUGUGCAUGAGGGGCACAGGGCCAGGGCAGGGGGUUCCGUGUCGGAGACGCAGCCCGCCAGCUUUGGUGUUUCUGUGUUGUGACACGAGAUGUGAGGUCGUUACCAAAGACGCCGGCAAGACAGACGUACAGACCACAACGGUAGACCUCAUCAUCGAGAAGGCGUGCACUCUGAGUUUGUAAUUUCGACGUUAAUGUCCUUACCGUGGCCGUGACAGGACUCAGACGCCCCCUGCUGGUGGAGUGCGCCGAUGACGCCUUUCAUUUUCACACAGUGUACGCUUACUGACCUUUUGGGUCGCAGUGUUAAUCUUGUCACUCGAAUGUUGUCAUUUAAUAAACUGAGUGUCCUGAAUGUCCACGUCAGGGGCCCGUGUGCUAACACCGUGUGUCAUGUUACAGGGUUCAAGGCGCAGGAGCAGAUGGCAUCAUGGCAGAGCGUGGAGACCCCAGCAGUGCCAGGCCAUUGAUAGCAGUAAGUGCCAACGGCAACGAGAGGAAUGGCAUCAGCACAGCACAGCCAAG